rnacentral:lncRNA from 1 species
UAAGUUCCAUCACCUUUUUAUGUUUGAGAAAAUGUAAAUAAUUAUGUUGUUCAGUGAAGUUAUGCCAAAAAAAAAAACAAAAACAAAAAAAAAGUUAUUGUUUCAAAAGAAUAAAAAUAACAAUAAUAGGUGAAAUCCACCUUGCAACUUCCAAAAAAAAAAAAAAAAUUCUCUGCAUUUUUCUCAAACAUACACUUUGUUUUCCUUAUUUCCUUUCUUUGUUAACCAUGUCCCUAGCCUAUGUUACAUCCUAAUAAAAGUCCUUCCUGAUUUUAGGGAACUAUAAUCUGAAGUAGAAGCUAGUUAUAUGGGCUAAAAAGAUGUAGUGGUGCAUAAAAAAAAUAAAUAAAUUGGGUUGACUAACAAUUUUUAUUUGACUUGAGAUCGUAUUAUUUUUAAGCUGAGGGCAUAUUUAUUUUAUCUUGGUGAGAGCAUGUGAUAUCACUUCUUCAUUAUUUUCUCUCAAUUAUCAUUCAUUGGAGUGACUAUUUUUAUUAGGUUUAAUUUCUUUGUGAGAGUGUCACUUCUUCCAGUGAGAUUUUGGGGUUUGACAUGUCAUUCUUGAAAGUAGCUAUAACAAAGUCUACUGGGUUGAUUCAUGUGGAUGGUUGAUGUGGGUGUGAUGUUACUUUAGACUGGAGAUAAUGCUUAUACUUUUAUUUGAUUGCUAUCAUUAAUCUGAUUGAAUAAACACGAGUGUUUCUGAAUUUUAAAAAAAAAAUCAUUUUGAAUUUGAAUUUUAUUUUCGCUUCAUUUGCUAGGGACUAACAAUAAGCUGGUUGGGGGGUGUGUUGAGUGUUAGAAAAUGCAUAUUUAUAAAGGAGAAAAUCGUCAUUUUACAUUUCAAGUCUUACUAACAACCCUUACUUUUAUGUAUUUAACCUUCUUGUGAUUUAAUUACAUGUGUUUUAUUUUAAUUAAGUAUUUUAUGUAUUUUAGGGGCAUUAUAGUCAUUUCACAAUAAAAGAGAAAUCAGACGGCAAAACGGACAUCACUUUUGAACUCAGGACGGUCAAAAACCUUAGGAGGAGCAUAAAAGGAAAAAUGACACUAUUCACAUGUACGGUACUAUUCACGUGUACGGUACUGUAUACCUUACUGUUCACGACACUGUUCACAUAGACGGAUGAUGACGUGGCAUUGACCGAUGAUGUGGCAUUGACUGAUGAGGUGUCACGAUCCUGUUGGACUAAAAUUCUUAUGUACUGUUGAUGGUGACGUGGCAGCAUAUCAGUGGACGAAAAAUCUCGCGUACAGUGCAUGCAUCACACAGGAUUAUUUUCAACCAAACUGUGUUACUGUUCAUCCGGGUCAAACCGCGUUACUAUUCAAAGUCGGGUCAAACCGUGUUACUGUUCAUCCGCGUGGUCAAACCGUGGACUGUUGACUGAUGACGUGGCGCAAUCCUGAGCGUCCAAACUGUUUUUAAUCCGAUGGCCAUGAUUUAUUCCAUGUAUCUAUAAAAAGGGGGCCUCUCCCCCCUAAUUUGAUAUCUCUGAAUCCAUUUUUGGGAUCCAUUUUCUGUAAUUCCCUCUCCAUCUUGUAUUUUCUUCGUAUUUUAAUAAAUUCCCAUUUUGCCCCUAGUUCAACUAUGAGU